rnacentral:rRNA from 1 species
UUGUACACACCGCCCGUCACACCACGAGAGUUUACAACACCCGAAGUCAGUGGCCUAACCGCAAGGAGGGAGCUGCCUAAGGUGGGGUAGAUGAU